GGUCAAGCUCCCAUCCCUCACUGUCCCUCCAGAAACAUGCUCACAUUUCUGCUGCUCCAUAUUCGAGCUCCCAUUGCUCUCCAUCGUCGUCACCGUCGCGCGGAUUCGUCCUGCAACGGGCUCUCCGGUCGGUUCUUCUACUAGUUGCUGAUAAAGGGGGUGUCCAUGGACGGGUAUGUGCCGGAGGAAGUACGGAAGUGUGAGGAGUUUAUGGAUCGUAAGAUGAAACCUUCUCUGGUUCGUGCCACUAACGAGCGGAACAAGCUCUUUGAACAGCAGAAGAUUUGUAUCCUUUCUUUUUUGUAAGCAUUCUUU